rnacentral:lncRNA from 1 species
AUCACUAUCAUAUGAUGACUUCAAUUCUUCAGGAUAAAUACCAAGGAGAGGUAUAGCUGGAUACUAAGGUGGUUGCAUGCCUAGUCUUUUGAGGAACCUCCAUACUUAUUUCCAUAGUGCUUACAUGAAUUUAUAAUGCCACCAAAGGUGUAAAAGUGUUCCUUUUUCUCUACAUCCUCUCCAGCAUUUAUCAUAGUUUGUAUUCUUGAUGACUGCCAUUCUGACUCUUGUGAGAUGAAAUCUCAGUGCGGUUUUGAUCUGCAUUUCCCCCUAAUUGCUAAUGACAUUGAACAGUUUUUCAUAUAUUUGUUGGCCAUUUGUAUUUCUUCUUCUGUGAAGUGCUUGUUCAGUUCCUUUGCCCAUUUAUUGAUUGGGUUAUUAUUAUUAUUUUUUGGUGUUUUCUGAGUUCAUUGUAUAUUCUAGAUAUGAAUUCUCUGUCCGAAGAGUAGAGAGCAAAGAUUUUCUCCCAUUCUGUAGGUUCUUUCUUCAUGUUCCUAAUUGUUUUCUUUGCUGUGCAGAAGAUUUUUAACCUGAUGUCAUCACAUUUACUAAUUCUUGGCAUAUUAAUUCUUGAGCUUUAAGAGUCCUAUUGAGGAAGUUAAUGCCUAUGCCUAUAUUCUGGACUGUUGACCCACCAGUUUUGUCUAGAAGUUGCAAAGACCUAAUUCAUAGGUCUUUGAUCCAUUUUGAGUUGAUUUUUGUGCAGGGUGAGAGAGAGGGCCUAGUUUCCUUCUUCUACAUAUGGAUAACCAGUUUUCCUAGCACCAUGUGUUUUAAAAGGCUGUCUUUUCUCCAGUGUAUGUUUUUGGAUCCUUUGUCAAAACCCAGCUGACUGUAUAUGUGUGGGUUUGAGUAGUUAUGUUUUAGAUGCUUAUUCUCGUUUGCUGGGAAAGCAGCCUGGUAUAAAGGGGAGAAUAUGAACUUUGGAG